UAGGGAAUCUUCCACAAUGGACGCAAGUCUGAUGGAGCAACGCCGCGUGAGUGAAGAAGGUUUUCGGACCGUAAAGCUCUGUUGUUGGUGAAGAAGGAUAGAGGUAGUAACUGGCCUUUAUUUGACGGUAAUCAACCAGAAAGUCACGGCUAACUACGUGCCAGCAGCCGCGGUAAUACGUAGGUGGCAAGCGUUGUCCGGAUUUAUUGGGCGUAAAGCGAGCGCAGGCGGAAGAAUAAGUCUGAUGUGAAAGCCCUCGGCUUAACCGAGGAAUUGCAUCGGAAACUGUUUUUCUUGAGUGCAGAAGAGGAGAGUAGAACUCCAUGUGUAGCGGUGGAAUGCGUAGAUAUAUGGAAGAAUACCAGUGGCGAAGGCGGCUCUCUGGUCUGCAACUGACGCUGAGGCUCGAAAGCAUGGGUAGCGAACAGGAUUAGAUACCCUGGUAGUCCAUGCCGUAAACGAUGAGUGCUAAGUGUUGGGAGGCUUCCGCCUCUCAGUGCUGCAGCUAACGCAUUAAGCACUCCGCCUGGGGGAGUACGACCGCAAGGUUGAAA
rnacentral:rRNA from 1 species